rnacentral:lncRNA from 11 species
UUGAUUCUGAGAUGUAACAUUGCACCAUUCAGUCUGUUGCAGCAAAACAACUUUGCAUCUUGUGGCACUUUAGGGAUUUGAAUGCUCACAGCACAACCAAUCGAUAGUAUUUCAAGGCGACUGCGGUGGGAACAAUGGCUCGAUUCAGGACUCGGCGGCUGAGAGGCUGGUGCCAAACCAAGGAUGAUGCUAAGAAAGGAGAAAGAAAGAAAGAACGAAAGAAAAGCUCAAAGGACGCUUUGGGAAGGAGGGAGGCAUUGUGAAGUUUCCAUGCUCACAGCACAACCAAUCGAUAGUAUUUCAAGACAACGUUGUUGGAUGGGAUCUGAUAGAAGCCAUGAUUGA